CAGUAGCCACGGGAACACGGAGGGCGCAAGCGUUAAUCGGAAUUACUGGGCGUAAAGCGCACGCAGGCGGUUUGUUAAGUCAGAUGUGAAAUCCCCGAGCUUAACUUGGGAACUGCAUUUGAAACUGGCAAGCUAGAGUCUUGUAGAGGGGGGUAGAAUUCCAGGUGUAGCGGUGAAAUGCGUAGAAACCUGGAGGAAUACCGGUGGCGAAGGCGGCCCCCUGGACAAAGACUGACGCUCAGGUGCGAAAGCGUGGGGAGCAAACAGGAUUAGAUACCCCGGUAGUCCCUGUCUCUUAUAC
rnacentral:rRNA from 1 species